rnacentral:rRNA from 1 species
UACGAAGGGUGCAAACGUUGCUCGGAAUUAUUGGGCGUAAAGCGCACGUAGGCGGCUCUGUAAGUCGGAUGUGAAAUCCCUCGGCUUAACCAAGGAAGUGCAUCCGAAACUGCAAGGCUUGAGUACUUAAGAGGAUCGCGGAAUUCCCGGUGUAGAGGUGAAAUUCGUAGAUAUCGGGAGGAACACCAGUGGCGAAGGCGGCGAUCUGGGAAGAUACUGACGCUGAGGUGCGAAAGCGCGGGGAGCGAACGGG